CACCCCACCCUCCGAGCCGCUCCUCCGCGGGGUGGGGGGGGGGGGUGACGUCAGGACUGCAGUCCCGAGGAGAGCGGCUGGAGAGGGUUGCGCGCUCCUCGCCUAGGAAGCUGGAGGCGCACUCGGGCAGGCGCCGCUCCCGCGCUCCUCCCUCUCCUCUGCACCCGCUGUCACGCUGCCCGCCCGCGGGGGAGCAUCGCGAGCCUCCAGGUGAAUUGAAAGUCGUUUCCGGGGGAGGACGGAGAGGGUGCUGCAGUCCGGGCAUGCACUGAAAACUGCAACUCGGACAGAAACGACCCGGCGGAGGAGCGGGCGCGCCGCGCCGUGCGCAGCCUCCCCGGGCUGCUGGAGGCGGCGGCUGCACAGCUCGCAGCCGAGCGCGGCGGCCGGACGUCGGCCCCGGGACUCCCGCCCUGGGCGCGCUCGCCCGGGAGAGACCCCCACCCCACCCCCCCGCCCCCGGUCCUGCGCAUUUCGCAGCUGCGCCAGUGUGGGGAAUGCGAGCGCAGUGGCUCCAGGUCGCCGCCGAGCAGCUGCCUGUGGGAGAGAGAGGCGAGGCGAGGGGGCGGCAGCCUCGGCCCGAAGAUCACUCUGGUUUCUUGGUUGGACACUGAGUGCAGAGGCCGGAAGACCAGCUGAGAAGCUGUUGCAGUGGCCCAGGUGGAGAGACUGAGGUCCCACUGUGUAUUCUGUGUCUUGUAGACAGUUGGAGCCCAGAUCCAGAGCCCCUGGGUGUUGCCCCAAAAGAUCACGCUACUUAUCUGUGGAAGACUCCUUUUCAUUUUCUUUUUAGACACAGGCAAUUGUGGAAAUGGACCCCACAUAAGAAAACAAGAAAAGCCGAUCAGAACAGGAGGAAAAACAGGCUGCUGUAGGGCACACAGACCAAGAGGGAGGAAGUGUCCAAAGCUGUUGGAUGCGACGGAGAAGUCGGCUUAGCAUGGUUACUGCCACGUCCUUCUAAACUCACAUGCCCAUUGCCUGUUAGUUCAACUGGCCAGAACAGAGGCCAGAAGAUCAAGAUAUUUGACUUCUCUGUGGACCAGAAGGCCUUACUCGUUCAAUUGGCUUGAAGGGUAUUAUGGGUUGAAUAGCAUCCCCCCCACCAAAAUUACAUCCACAGAAUGUGAUCUUGUUUGGAUGGAAGUAAGGUCUUUACAGGUGUAAUUAGGUUAAAAGGAGAUCACAGUGGAUUAGGAUUGGUCCUGAAUCCAAGGACUAGUGUCCCUGUAAGAAAAGGAGAAAACACGGAAACACACGAAGGAAAACACCAGAAGACCAAGGGGGCAGAGACUGGAGUACGGAAUGCCAAGAAAUCCCAGAUUUGCUGGCAACCGACAGAAGCCAAGAGCAAAUCACAGAACGGACACUCAGUGCCAUCAGAAGAAACCACCCCUGCCACACUUUGAUCUGGAACUUCUGGCCCCCAGAACCAUGAGAGAAUAAAUUCCUAUUGUUUUAAGCUCCUGUGUUUGUGGUAACUUGCUCUGGCAGCCCCACAGGUAACCAAUACACCUGGUGAGACAGUUCCUCCUUGUCCCAUGGACAUCCAGGUGAGCUUGUCGACAGGCUGAUGCUCCUAGGCCUAACGGUACAUCUGUGAGA